rnacentral:rRNA from 1 species
ACGGCCCACCAAACCUUUGACCGGUACGGGCUUUGAGAGAAGGAGCCCGGAGAUGGACACUGAGACAAGGGUCCAGGCCCUAUGGGGCCCAGCAGGCGCGAAACCUCCACAAUGGGCGAAAGCCUGAUGGGGUCAUUCCGAGUGCCAUCCGCUAAGGAUGGCUUUUCCCAAGUCUAAACCGCUUGGGGAAUAAGGGGAGGGCAAGUCUUGUGUCAGCCCCCGCGGUAAUUCCAACUCCCCGAGUGGUUGGGGCGGUUAUUGGGCCUAAAGCAUCCGUAGCCGGCCCUGUCCGUUUUCCGUUAAAUNUAACGGCCCAACCGUUAGGCUGCGGAGGAUACCACAGGGCUAGGGGGCGGGAGAGGUGGACGGUACUCCAAGGGUAGGGGUAAAAUCCUCUGAUCCUUGGAAGACCACCGGUGGCGAAGGCGGUCCACCAGAACGCGCCCGACGGUGAGGGAUGAAAGCUGGGGGAGCNAACCGGAUUAGAUACCCGGGUAGUCCCAGCCGUAAACGAUGCGAGCUAGGUGACAGAAUGGCCUAAGAGCCAUUCUGCUGCCGCAGGGAAGCCGUUAAGCUCGCCGCCUGGGGAGUACGGACGCAAGUCUGAAACUUAAAGGAAUUGGCGGGGGAGUCAACU